rnacentral:rRNA from 1 species
AUGAACGCUGGCGGCGUGCCUAAUACAUGCAAGUCGAACGAGGUGCUUGAGUAGCAAUACGAGAGUAUCCUAGUGGCGAACGGGUGAGUAACGCGUUGGUGACCUACCCCAAAGUGUGGGAUAACAGUUCGAAAGGAUUGCUAAUACCGCAUGUGGUCUUCGGAUUUAGAAACCGAUGACUAAAGGAGUAAUCCGCUUUGGGAGGGACCUGCGUCCCAUCAGCUAGUUGGUGAGGUAACGGCUCACCAAGGCGACGACGGGUAGGGGACCUGAGAGGGUGGCCCCCCACAAUGGAACUGAAACACGGUCCAUACACCUACGGGUGGCAGCAGUAGGGAAUAUUGCACAAUGGGCGAAAGCCUGAUGCAGCAACGCCGCGGGCGCGAUGAAGGCCCUCGGGUCGUAAAGCGCUUUUCUGAGAGAUGAGAAAGGACAGUAUCUCAGGAAUAAGUCUCGGCUAACUACGU